rnacentral:tRNA from 1 species
GCCUGGGUGGCUCAGUCGGUUGAGCAGUCGACUUCGGCUCAGGUCAUGAUCUCACACUUUGUGGGUUCGAGCCCCACAUCAGGCU